AACGAACGCUGGCGGCAUGCCUAACACAUGCAAGUCGAACGAGACCUUCGGGUCUAGUGGCGCACGGGUGCGUAACGCGUGGGAACCUGCCCUUAGGUUCGGAAUAACUCCCCGAAAGGGGUGCUAAUACCGGAUAAUGUCUUCGGACCAAAGAUUUAUCGCCUUUGGAUGGGCCCGCGUUGGAUUAGCUAGUUGGUAGGGUAAAAGCCUACCAAGGCGACGAUCCAUAGCUGGUCUGAGAGGAUGAUCAGCCACACUGGGACUGAGACACGGCCCAGACUCCUACGGGAGGCAGCAGUGGGGAAUAUUGGACAAUGGGCGAAAGCCUGAUCCAGCAAGGCCGCGUGAGUGAUGAAGGCCGUAGGGUUGUAAAGCUCUUUUACCCGGGAUGAUAAUGACAGUACCGGGAGAAUAAGCUCCGGCUAACUCCGUG
rnacentral:rRNA from 1 species